GAUGAACGCUGGCGGCGUGCUUAACACAUGCAAGUCGAACGAUGAAGCCCAGCUUGCUGGGUGGAUUAGUGGCGAACGGGUGAGUAACACGUGAGUAACCUGCCCUUAACUCUGGGAUAAGCCUGGGAAACUGGGUCUAAUACCGGAUAGGAGCGCCUACCGCAUGGUGGGUGUUGGAAAGAUUUAUCGGUUUUGGAUGGACUCGCGGCCUAUCAGCUUGUUGGUGAGGUAAUGGCUCACCAAGGCGACGACGGGUAGCCGGCCUGAGAGGGUGACCGGCCACACUGGGACUGAGACACGGACCAGAAUCCUACGGGAGGCAGCAGUGGGGAAUAUUGCACAAUGGGCGAAAGCCUGAUGCAGCGACGCCGCGUGAGGGAUGACGGCCUUCGGGUUGUAAACCUCUUUCAGUAGGGAAGAAGCGAAAGUGACGGUACCUGCAGAAGAAGCACCGGCUAACUACGUG
rnacentral:rRNA from 1 species